rnacentral:miRNA from 1 species
AUGGAGAUAGAUAUAGAAAU